UGGGGAAUAUUGCACAAUGGGCGAAAGCCUGAUGCAGCAACGCCGCGUGAGUGAUGAAGGUCUUCGGAUUGUAAAGCUCUGUCUUUUGGGACGAUAAUGACGGUACCAAAGGAGGAAGCCACGGCUAACUACGUGCCGGCAGCCGCGGUAAUACGUAGGUGGCGAGCGUUGUCCGGAUUUACUGGGCGUAAAGGGUGCGUAGGCGGAUGUUUAAGUGAGAUGUGAAAUACCCGGGCUUAACUUGGGUGCUGCAUUUCAAACUGGAUAUCUAGAGUGCAGGAGAGGAGAAUGGAAUUCCUAGUGUAGCGGUGAAAUGCGUAGAGAUUAGGAAGAACACCAGUGGCGAAGGCGAUUCUCUGGACUGUAACUGACGCUGAGGCACGAAAGCGUGGGUAGCAAACAGGAUUAGAUACCCUGGUAG
rnacentral:rRNA from 1 species